GGAGUUAGCCGGUGCUUCUUCUGCGAGUAACGUCACAGAUGUAAGGUAUUAACUUACACCCUUUCCUCCUCGCUGAAAGUGCUUUACAACCCGAAGGCCUUCUUCACACACGCGGCAUGGCUGCAUCAGGGUUUCCCCCAUUGUGCAAUAUUCCCCACUGCUGCCUCCCGUAGGAGUCUGGGCCGUGUCUCAGUCCCAGUGUGGCUGAUCAUCCUCUCAGACCAGCUAGGGAUCGUCGCCUAGGUGAGCCUUUACCUCACCUACUAGCUAAUCCCACCUGGGCUUAUCCAUCAGCGCAAGGCCCGAAGGUCCCCUGCUUUCCCCCGUAGGGCGUAUGCGGUAUUAGCAGUCGUUUCCAACUGUUAUCCCCCACAACUGGGCAAAUUCCCAGGCAUUACUCACCCGUCCGCCGCUCGUCAUCUUCAAAGCAAGCUUUUGAAUGUUACCGCUCGACUUGCAUGUGUUAGGCCUGCCGCCAGCGUUCAAUCUGAGCCAUAAUCAAACUCUGA
rnacentral:rRNA from 1 species